rnacentral:misc_RNA from 1 species
GUGAAUCAUCGAAUUUUUGAACGCACAUUGCACUAUCUGGUAUUCUGGCGAGCAUGCCUAUUCGAGGGUCAUUUGAAGCAAUAUAAACUCCAAGAUUUUUCGGAAUUUAAAAUGGGUCGUUCACCUAUUGUGGUCGCCUAAAAUUCAAGAUAAGCUCAUUUUCUUGGCAUGCGCGAUACUUUCAGUUACCUUGUGACUCAACCAGGAAUCAUCGGGCGUGUUAUGAAUCUCGCAAGAGAUAAAAAAUUCCAUAGAUGUAUUUCAUGCGAUAUAGAAACC